AUUGAACGCUGGCGGCAGGCUUAACACAUGCAAGUCGAACGAGCGGCGGACGGGUGAGUAAUGUCUGGGAAACUGCCUGAUGGAGGGGGAUAACUACUGGAAACGGUAGCUAAUACCGCAUACCAUCAGAUGUGCCCAUAUGGGAUUAGCUAGUAGGUGGGGUAAUGGCUCACCUAGGCGACGAUCCCUAGCUGGUCUGAGAGGAUGCCCGGCCACACUGGAACUGAGACACGGUCCAGACUCCUACGGGAGGCAGCAGUGGGGAAUAGUGCGCAAUGGGGGCAACCCUGACGCAGCCAUGCAGCGUGAAUGAAGAAGGCCUUAGGGUUGGAAAGUUCUUUCGGUAGCGAGGCGUUACCUACAGAAGAAGCACCGGCUAACUCCGUGCCAGCAGCCGCGGUAAUUC
rnacentral:rRNA from 1 species